GACAGAGGGGGCAAGCGUUGCUCGGAAUUACUGGGCGUAAAGGGCGCGCAGGCGGGAUGGCAAGUCGGUCGUGAAAUCCCUCGGCUCAACCGAGGAACGUCGAUCGAUACUGCUGUUCUUGAGGAUUGCAGAGGAGACUGGAAUUCCCGGUGUAGCGGUGAAAUGUGUAGAGAUCGGGAGGAACACCGGUGGCGAAGGCGGGUCUCUGGGCAAUUCCUGACGCUGAGGCGCGAAAGCGUGGGGAGCAAACGGG
rnacentral:rRNA from 1 species